rnacentral:rRNA from 1 species
UUAAUAAGCGGAGGAAAAGAAACUAACGAGGAUUCCCCUAGUAACGGCGAGUGAAGCGGGAGGUGCCCAGUAUGUGAAUCUGCGCUUGGCGUGGAAUUGUGGUUUAGAGGCGCUUGCACUAAAUGGACUGGGCAAAGUCCCUUGGAACAGGGUAGCUAAGAGGGUGAGACUCCCGUCUGCCCGGUUCAUGGAGCAAGUGUAGACGAGUCGAGUUGUUUGGGAUUGCAGCUCAAAGUGGGUGGUAAAUUCCAUCUAAAGAUUAAUAUUGGUGGGAGACCGAUAGUGUACAAGUACCGUGAGGGAAAGAUGAAAAGCCGCGCGAAAGCGCCGUUAAAGAGUACCUGAAUUUGCUGAAAAGGAAGCGAAGGAAACCAGUGAUAUCUGCAUCAUAUUUCCCCAACUGCUUGCGGAUGGGGCGCUGUGGCCAGAGUUGUCAGACUUGUUUGGGAUGGAAAUUGGAUACUCGCGGGGAGAGUCGGAUCCUCGUUGCUGGCAAUUCCCCCGGAUGCAGCCUUGACGAAAUGGUUUUCUUUUUCCCG